rnacentral:rRNA from 1 species
AACGAACGCUGGCGGCAUGCCUAACACAUGCAAGUCGAACGAGACCUUCGGGUCUAGUGGCGCACGGGUGCGUAACGCGUGGGAACCUGCCCUUAGGUUCGGAAUAACUCCCCGAAAGGGGUGCUAAUACGGGAUAAUGUCUUCGGACCAAAGAUUUAUCGCCUUUGGAUGGGCCCGCGUUGGAUUAGCUAGUUGGUAGGGUAAAAGCCUACCAAGGCGACGAUCCAUAGCUGGUCUGAGAGGAUGAUCAGCCACACUGGGACUGAGACACGGCCCAGACUCCUACGGGAGGCAGCAGUGGGGAAUAUUGGACAAUGGGCGAAAGCAUGAUCCAGCAAUGCCGCGUGAGUGAUGAAGGCCUGAGGGUUGUAAAGCUCUUUUACCCGGGAUGAUAAUGACAGUACCGGGAGAAUAAGCUCCGGCUAACUCCGUG